CGUGUAAAAGGUCAUAUUUACUGUUCAUCAGGCUUUGAGCACAUGCAUGUUCAUGGCUAGGAGAAGAGAGCGCCCUUCUUGCGUGGCAUUCUCAGAACUGCUUUCUACUUUCCUAGCAGGAGAGGAAAAAGCAGGCCUACCCAAUUCAGGGACAGAGGAUGCGACACAGAGAACUGGCUUCCUCUCUAGGCUGCUCCUUGACUUUGGGUGUUGAGGCUUCUACAUGGGAGGAGACAUUCCUUGGCCUGGCUGUUCACUCUCAUGUUACUUUCUUUUGCCUUUUGACCGCGCUGAAAAGAGCUAACCCACAAGUGAAUGGGUUUUGGGGAAAAGCCAACAGAGGCAAAGAGCAAUCCAGGAGGAGUGGUUGUCAAUAAAACCCAGUGAAGUGGAGGGAGAUGGAGGCAGUUCAGGGAAUGGCUUGCUUCCUUCUAGGCUAAGGGGCCGAAGACUCUGGCUGUUUAGUGGAUCAAAGAGAGACUGGUCUGGGUUUCAGGUUUUCCAUUCAUGGAGUGGGUUUGAGAAUCCUCCUCUCCCUUCCCUCAUUCUCUUUUUCCAUCCCCUGCUAGGAUCCAUCUCAGGACCACCCACUCUUCUGUUGCUGGACUAUGCUCCCCUUAUAUUCUCUGUGUGAUCUUUUGCAAUAGUUAAUUUCACAGUGAUGCAGUGAGCUCAGACAUCCCAUGUUAUUCCUCUUGUCCACUGCUUCUGUACCAGUCCUAUAUCCUCCCUUUUCCCUUCUCUCCCCACCUUCCUAGGCACAGGUUAAGUGUUACCUGCUUUAUUCACUCAUGUUCUCAAGCGGGUCCCACACAUCAUCAUUUAGGAUACAUUUAUUGUCUUCAUCUCAGUGAUGAGAAAAAUGAGACACACGUGGAUGCUAAAAGGUGACGGAGAAGUCUAUAGAGCAGGCAAAGGGUAGUGUUCUGCUAGGUUUAGUCUUAUCCAAAGCCCUUACAAUAUACUGCUUUAAUUUCCAUCUUUUCCCCUCCCCCUUCUCCUCCUUCCUUCUCCUCCUACCCCUAUUCUCUUUCCCUUUCUUGUUUUUUGACACAGAAUCUCACUCUAUACCCAGGCUGACCUCAUACUCCCUGUAAUUCUCCUGCCUCAGUCUCCCUAAUGCUGGGAUUGUGGCAUGUUUCCAAUACCUCUAUGUUUUCUAGUUAUUAUGCUAUUUAGUUAUUUUCUCUGGGUCUUCCCUCACUAAGUGGGUAGGAGGACUGGAUGAUCAACUUUUUUUUUUCAGUUUAGGAACUCUGGUCCCUUGAGUCCUUUGGAUAUAGUCACCUCUGUGCAAGCUUGAUCUUUCUGUGCCUACUGCCUCGCUCCCUCCUGGCCCCACCUCACAUUUCCUCAUGAGGCCGUUCGUUAUCCCAGGCACUAUCUAGGGAACCCUGGUUUCAGCACCAGUAGGCAGAGAAGAACAGUUGGGAGCCUGGCAUGUGCUGUAUGCCUGACACUACCUGGUAGAGGGAUGCAAUAGGGUGAUCAUAUAUCUUCAAGGCCCGUGCUGCUUGGUCAGGUCAGUUAUGCAAGAAAGACAGUUCUAUGCUGUGUAAACACAUUUGCAGCUAGAGCUCCGGGUGGCCCCCCUGGGGCCUAUUUCUGGGCCUUGGUGGCAAGAACUUUCUUCACUGAAUGAUUGACAGAGCUGUGGGGAAAGCUAAGCAGAUGGUGAUUUCUCUCAGUAUGAAGGUGCACUUAACUAAAGGCUGUGGGACCAGGGAUCCUAGCUGGCUUCUAAGUCGCAUGUUCCACAGUCCACUACCCUUGAUCAGAGUCUUCAGGGGCCAGUAGAAUCCUCUGGGAAACCACCCAAGUUGGGGUGAAGCUGGUUGGCCUCUGCAGGAAGAAGAGCAAUCCCCACCUUGCCUUGUCUCCCUGUCUUACUUGGGAGUGGGUGGUGUGGUGUGAUGGGUGCGAGCUGAGGGCACUAACUGGGCAGAGCAUUCUGGGAAUGAACUCCACUUUAUCAGUGCAUGAUUAGCCACUCAUAUUAAAAUGGGGGAUGUGUUCUAGACUCUGUGACAAGCCACAAAGCUAUUAAGAAAGGGCUUGGCAUUUAGUAAUGGCCUGAGGUAAAGGUCUUACUCAGUCUCUUAGAGGCUAGGUGGCUUCUAAGUCACAGAAAUUUAUGUCUCACAGCUCUAAAACUUGAUGUUGAGGCCAGGAUGCCAACAUGGCCCAAGCUUUAUGGGAUGCCUGCACAGCAGAGGUCUUUUUGAACAGACCGCAGGCUUCCCAAAAUCUUACUUGCCAGAGAGCAGCCAGCAGCAGCAAACUAUCUCAAGACUGAUAAAGGCAUUGGUCCUAUGCAGGGGGGCCCCACACUUGCAACCGGGCACAGUCUCAAUCACCCUGCCAAGGUAAUUACCCUACCCUAGUCCCAUCACUGUUGGGAUUUCAACAGAUGGAUGUUAAAAGAACACAAGCAUCCAGUCCUCAGCCAGAUCAAGAUGUUGAAGUGUUUCAGGUAUGAUAUCUGGGAGACAUGAAGACAGUUGUCCAAUUCAGUUAGAGAAGCACAAGGCACCACUGUCUGGCAUCACCAACAGCCCAGGCUUCUGAGCGUUAGAACAGCUUGGGGCUGAAAGUGGUGCUUUCUGUCUUAAUAGCUCACUGUUGGGUCUCUGGGACUUCCUCAUGCAUGGUCCUGGGCUUCAGGAUCCAACAGGACAUCAGUGGGAGCAGUUUUCCUCCAGGGAGCACCUGAAAGGAGCUUGCCAAUGUGUUCGAUCAUGACUCUCACAAACAGCUGGCAGGGAUUCAGCACAGCCUUGGUUUGUUCUCAUCUUUCAAGGUGAGCAGCCUUGCCAUCUUUCUGCUCAGAGUCCAGGGGAGGAAGAAUCCCAGAUACCAAGCCCUCAGAAACCCACCAUCCACAAGAAACAGCAGACUCCAGUUCCUGGAUCCUGACUAGAGGGAGGAUGAGAAACAUGCCCAGAGAUGGACUGGAGACUCCAUCUCCGUUGCCACCCUCCCUGGAGAUGAGGCACCUGACCCAUUGGGUUGUCUUCUCCCUGAAUCUCUGCAACUUCCAUUUGACAUCUAGGUGAAAGACACUAGACAUCUGGGUGUCCUUGAGCAGUAAAAAUAGUUGUUGUGAAGAUGUGAGCAUCUUUAUUUGCAGUCGUCGUCGUCGUUGUCGUCGUUGUCGUCAUUAUCAUCCAAGGCAGCUCAGGCUGAGGAACCUGCCUGCCAUAGAUGUGCAGCUGGCAGACUCUGCAGAUGGACACACAACCAAGAGGGCAUGGUUCUGCUGUCUAACCACUGUGCUGUCAUCCUGGAGGCCUGAGCAUCAGUUUCCAUCUACAUGAAGGUGUUACUGCUGCGAGAGAGCUCUCUGCCCUUUCUGCCCAGUGAUGGUGGAUCAUGGGAUCUCAGAUGCUAACUGGUGGUGUUGGGUCAAGCAAUCCACCUCCAGGUUACAGUCGUCCCCACCUCUGCUGGUGGGGUUCUGCCACAACUCAUGCCAGAGUCUCCUUCAAGUGGACUCUAGUACCAGGAGGGCUAAAGCAACCUGGUGAUGACAUUGGACAGAUGGUGGGUUUGUGCCACGUGGACCCUUCUGGCAAAGGAAGACUGCAUAUCUGCGUGGUGAAUGACUGAAUCCAAGGAACAUACUUACGACUUACUUGAUAUAGUUUUGGAUCUAGAAUCACAUAGGAUAAAAGGAUCUGGGCACAUCUGUGAAGACAUUUUUGGAUUGGGCUGAGAUAGGAAGACUCAUCCUGAAUGUGGUGGCACCAUUCCCUAGGCUGGAGUGUUGGACCGAAUCAAAAGGA